GACGAACGCUGGCGGCGUGCUUAACACAUGCAAGUCGAACGCUGAAGCUCAGCUUUUGUUGGGUGGAUGAGUGGCGAACGGGUGAGUAACACGUGAGUAACCUGCCCCCUUCUUUGGGAUAACGCCCGGAAACGGGUGCUAAUACUGGAUAUUCACUGGUCUUCGCAUGGGGGUCGGUGGAAAGGGUUUUUCUGGUGGGGGAUGGGCUCGCGGCCUAUCAGCUUGUUGGUGGGGUGAUGGCCUACCAAGGCUUUGACGGGUAGCCGGCCUGAGGGGGUGACCGGUCACAUUGGGACUGAGAUACGGCCCAGACUCCUACGGGAGGCAGCAGUGGGGAAUAUUGCACAAUGGGCGCAAGCCUGAUGCAGCGACGCCGCGUGAGGGAUGGAGGCCUUCGGGUUGUGAACCUCUUUCGCUCAUGGUCAAGCCGCAACAAUGGUUGUGGUGAGGGUAGUGGGUAAAGAAGCGCCGGCUAACUACGUG
rnacentral:rRNA from 1 species